rnacentral:rRNA from 1 species
AUUGAACGCUGGCGGCACGCUUAACACAUGCAAGUCGAACGGCAGCAUGACCUAGUUUACUAGGUUGAUGGCGAGUGGCGGACGGGUGAGUAACGCGUAGGAACCUACCCUAAAGACGGGGACAACUCGGGGAAACUCGAGCUAAUACCCGAUGUGCUCUUCGGAGUAAAUGUGGAAACACGCUUUAGGAGGGGCCUGCGUUGGAUUAGCUUGUAGGUGGGGUAAAGGCCUACCUAGGCAAUGAUCUAUAGCUGUUCUGAGAGGAAGAUCAGCCACACUGGGACUGAGACACGGCCCAGACUCCUACGGGAGGCAGCAGUGGGGAAUCUUGGACAAUGGGGGAAACCCUGAUCCAGCGAUGCCGCGUGUGUGAAGAAGGCCUUCGGGUUGUAAAGCACUUUAGUUGGGAGGAACGCAUACUCUGUAUGCUUGACG